CCUGGAGAGCCUGGUUCUGUGUUCAUUCCAUGGAUGCUGCAGUGCUGGGUGCGGUUUGGUGAUACUGAGUCUUCAAAAGGACUGUCCUCAGAAAAAAAAACUGCCUAACAGUGGAAAUAAUGUUGAAGAACUGCCCCUAGCCCAAUUACGGUUUCAGUAAGUGGUACUUCACAGUUGGGUGCUGGACACUAAGUAGGAUUAAAUUACUACUGGGCAGUCAGAACAGAUGCAUAAGUGAUUUUUUUUAUGGGGCUAUGAC
rnacentral:lncRNA from 1 species